rnacentral:rRNA from 1 species
CCUACGGGAGACAGCAGUGAGGAAUAUUGGUCAACGGUCGGGAGACUGAACCAGCCAAGCCGCGUGAGGGAGGAAGGUACAGAGUAUCGUAAACCUCUUUUGUCAGGGGACAAAGACUGGGACGCGUCCCCGGAUGAGUGUACCUGAAGAACAAGCAUCGGCUAACUCCGUGCCAGCAGCCGCGGUAAUACGGAGGAUGCGAGCGUUAUCCGGUUUUAUUGGGUUUAAAGGGUGCGCAGGCGGUCUGUUAAGUCAGCGGUAAAAGCCCGGGGCUCAACCCCGGCCCGCCGUUGAAACUGGCAGUCUCGAGUUGGAGAGAAGUAUGCGGAAUGCGCGGUGUAGCGGUGAAAUGCAUAGAUAUCGCGCAGAACUCCGAUUGCGAAGGCAGCAUGCCGGCUCCACACUGACGCUGAGGCACGAAAGCGUGGGUAUCGAACAGGAUUAGAUACCAGAGUAGUC